AUUAGAAGAAGAGGACAUCCAGGGAAGCGUAUAGUAAGGAUAUCACUACCUGUUUAUAGUUUCUUUGACUGUCUACGGUCAGGUUGUGAAUUCAAAGUCGCUCACUCACUGCUGUUGGGGCUCAGACUGUGAGCAUACUUUUGAUAAGGAAGCCUUUCUGGUGUGGGGAAUGUGGCUAAUAAGGCAGGCUUAUGGUGCAGCAUUCUGCAAAAAACUUUGAAAAAGAUUUGAACAUGCAAAACAAAAUAAAAAUAAUACAGGAUAUUAAUG